UUUCUAUUAGCUGUACAAGGAUAGUCAAAUUUGUCAUGUGAUUUGGUUUUCAACUCUUUUAUGGUCAUGUGGCACUCUGAGCUUUUUUGUCUUGUAUGCUUUUGGUCAAUUUCUCUCACGUAGACGAGCUCAUAAGGGGAGUGAUUGACUGCAUCUUCCUGUUUGUUUGCGAGCCAUGUGCCCCCAAGGCAAGUGGAAUAAGAGCCACUCGCUUUACAAUAAAUAAUGUAAAACACAGAAUGCUUGCUUGGCUUCUAGUUCGGUUGCACAGAGGGCGCGUCAUCGUUAAUAGGAGGAGUGUGUUGUGAAAAAACGGGCGUGUCAUGGAUAUAUAAAAUUUAAAAGCACGCUGCUGAACGCCGUAAUAGCCUGUGUCAGCUUAAUUUUUUUUUUCGCUCUGAUAAAAGCGGUUUGGAUGUAAAAACAGGAUCACCAUGUACUCCAUUGUGAACGGCAAUCUUGUUUUACCAAUUCUGUUUCUCCAGGCAUCGUUCACUACAGCCGAGAAGGAGUGUGAGGACCCUAAAACGUGUCAAAGUGAGAACUUCAAGUGGUCUAAUCUGUGGUAUGUGUGGUGAGUUAUCAUAUUUAUAUUCGU